rnacentral:misc_RNA from 1 species
AACCAUUCUCACCUGCGGCUAGACCUGCGGAAGGAUCAUUACAGAGUUGCAAAACUCCCACAAACCAUCGCGAAUCUUACCCGUACGGUUGCCUCGGCGCUGGCGGUCCGGAAGGCCCUCGGGCCCCCGGACCCUCGGGUCUCCCGCUCGCGGGAGGCUGCCCGCCGGAGUGCCGAAACCAAACUCUUGAUAUUUUAUGUCUCUCUGAGUAAACUUUUAAAUAAGUCAAAACUUUCAACA